rnacentral:tRNA from 1 species
UGCGCCCAUAGCUCAGUUGGAUAGAGCGAUUGACUACGAAUCAAUAGGUCGGAGGUUCGAAUCCUUCUGGGCGCACCAU